GACUAACGCUAACGGUGUGCUUAAUACAUGCAAGUCGAACGAGCAAUGUGAGAGUGGCAACACUCCUGCAAAGCUAGUGGCGAACGGGUGAGUAACGCGUAGGUAAUCUACCUUGAAGAUUAGGAUAACCUUCCGAAAGGAAGGCUAAUACUAAAAUUUUAUGUUUUUCGUAUGAUUAAUAUAACAAAGGUAGCCGCAAGGCCUCCGCUUUAAGAUGAACCUGCGUCCUAUUAGCUUGUUGGUAAGGUAAUGGCUUACCAAGGCUAUGAUGGGUAGCCGGCCUGAGAGGGUGAUCGGCCACACUGGGACUGAGAUACGGCCCAGACUCCUACGGGAGGCAGCAGUAGGGAAUAUUGCGCAAUGGGCGAAAGCCUGACGCAGCGACACCGUGUGAAGGAUGAAGGUCUUCGGAUCGUAAACUUCUGUCAAUCGGGGACGAAGGUAAUAAGGUUAAUAGCCUUUAUUAUUGACGGUACCCAAUAAGGAAGUCUCGGCUAACUCCGUGCCAGCAGCCGCGGUAAGACGGAGGAGGCAAGCGUUGUCCGGAAUCAUUGGGCGUAAAGAGCGCGUAGGCGGUUUUUCAAGUCGUAUGUGAAAACUUCAGGCUUAACCUGAUGAUUGCAUAUGAAACUGGAUAACUUGAGUACAGCAGAGGAAAGUGGAAUUCCUGGUGUAGCGGUGAAAUGUGCAGAUAUCAGGAAGGACACCGGUAGCGAAGGCGGCUUUCUGGGCUGUUACUGACGCUGAGGCGCGAAAGCUAGGGGAGCAAACAGGAUUAGAUACCCUGGUAGUCCUAGCCCGUAAACGAUGGACACUAGGUGUGGGAAGUUAUCGACGCUUUCUGUGCCGAAGCUAACGCAUUAAGUGUCCCGCCUGGGGAGACGGCCGCAAGGCU
rnacentral:rRNA from 1 species